GCAGCAAGUGGUGACGUUUGUAGAGCAGAAACUGUCCGUACCUGGUCCGGGAAUCACUGUUCAGCUGACUGAACUUCAGAACUUCCUGUCCGUACUGAUACCUGACGUCAACAAGUUCCUUGAUAGUUGCCGCGCUUUCCAUCAGGUACCGGUGUCCCAGCUGAAGAAUAACUUUACGGCAGUUUGUGACCUGGUGUCCGCGAUACAGUCCUUCUCCGUCCACCACCUUCACUACGCUCCCAACAUCGCUGCUAGUGACGCAUUUUUGUGGCUUGUAGAACCGGGACAUGUGAACCACCUCUCUUCCACUGAACGGCACUUUACUGGACUCCUAGCUGAGAUCGAGAGAGCUGUUGAAGCCCUGAUGGCCAGAAAGCAGUUUGUGUGAAGGAACCAACUUGUUCUCUAGUGAAAUGAGAUUGGGACUUAAUUCUGUGUCGUUCCUUCCGAGACUGGGUUUGUUAUUUCGAUACCACCGAUUAAAAUGUGAAUUUUAUCUAUGUACCGUAUUUCGGUAAUAAUUUGGCUGUUAUUGGUUUUUCUGAGCCUUUAAAACGGCUUUGUUACAACCGAUUACGUCCC